UACGAAGGGGGCUAGCGUUGUUCGGAAUUACUGGGCGUAAAGCGCACGUAGGCGGAAUGUUAAGUCAGGGGUGAAAUCCUGGAGCUCAACUCCAGAACUGCCUUUGUACUGAAGAUCUUGAGUCCGGGAGAGGUGAGUGGAACUGCGAGUGUAGAGGUGAAAUUCGUAGAUAUUCGCAAGAACACCAGUGGCGAAGGCGGCUCACUGGCCCGGUACUGACGCUGAGGCACGAAAGCGUGGGGAGCAAACAGGG
rnacentral:rRNA from 1 species